UAUGUGAUCGUCUCUCGCAUAUCAAUAAGCGGAGGAAAAGAAACUAACAAGGAUUCCCCUAGUAACGGCGAGUGAAGCGGGAAGAGCUCAAAUUUGAAAUCUUAAAGGGUUUCCCUUUACGAAUUGUAGUUUAAAGAAGUGUUUUCUGUUGAGGUUUUGGUAAAAGUUCUUUGGAAUAGGACAUCAUAGAGGGUGAGAAUCCCGUAUUUGACCUUUACUUUCAACUUUGUGAUACACUUUCAAAGAGUCGGAUUGUUUGGGUAAUGCAGUCCAAAAUGGGUGGUAAAUUUCAUCUAAAGCUAAAUAUUGGCGAGAGACCGAUAGCGAACAAGUACCGUGAGGGAAAUAGAUGAAAAGAACUUUGAAAAGAGAGUUAAACAGUACGUGAAAUUGUCAAAAGGGAAGCGUUUGACACCAGUGUUGUUUUUCUGAAAAUCAAUUAAAGAACUGUUUAUGCUAAGUUGUUUAGACUUUAUCAGCUAACUGUUUAGUUUUGAGCUUUUCUUUAAUGCACUUUUCAGUUAACAAGUCAACAUCAAUUUCUUUUGCUGUAAAAAAGCUUGAGGGAGGUGGCUUGAGAUUCGUCUUAAGUGUUUAUAGCCUCUUGCCUAUGCAGUCGGAGAGAUUGAGGUCUGCAGCGUAGAUCCUUCGGGGCUAAAUGCAUUUGUGCUAAGUUAUAGCAUUUUAUAGACAACUUGUUGACUAUGAUUUGUCUUGUAGCUUACUCGCUUAUGUUAUUUUACCUACGCUUAGGAUGUUGAUCUACAGAGCGAGAGU
rnacentral:rRNA from 1 species